rnacentral:tRNA from 1 species
GCUUGGGUAGCUCAGUUGGUAGAGCACUUGCCCGUGAAAGGCAAAGGUCCCGAGUUCGAGUCUCGGUCCGGGGCCA